rnacentral:rRNA from 1 species
GAUGAACGCUGGCGGCGUGCCUAAUACAUGCAAGUCGAGCGAACAGAUAAGGAGCUUGCUCCUUUGACGUUAGCGGCGGACGGGUGAGUAACACGUGGGUAACCUACCUAUAAGACUGGAAUAACUCCGGGAAACCGGGGCUAAUGCAGGAUAACAUGUUGAACCGCAUGGUUCUACAGUGAAAGGCGGCUUUGCUGUCACUUAUAGAUGGACCCGCGCCGUAUUAGCUAGUUGGUGAGGUAACGGCUCACCAAGGCAACGAUACGUAGCCGACCUGAGAGGGUGAUCGGCCACACUGGAACUGAGAAACGGUCCAGACUCCUACGGGAGGCAGCAGUAGGGAAUCUUCCGCAAUGGGCGAAAGCCUGACGGAGCAACGCCGCGUGAGUGAUGAAGGUCAUCGGAUCGUAAAACUCUGUUAUUAGGGAAGAACAAAUGCGUAAGUAACUGUGCGCGUCUUGACGGUACCUAAUCAGAAAGCCACGGCUAACUACGUG